CGCGUAGGUGGCGCGGGAAGUCAACGGUGAAAGUUCAGGGCUCAACCCUGAAUCGGCCGUCGAUACUCCCGGGCUUGAGCACUGUAGAGGCAGGUGGAAUUCCGGGUGUAGCGGUGGAAUGCGUAGAGAUCCGGAAGAACACCGGUGGCGAAGGCGGCCUGCUGGGCAGUAGCUGACACUGAGGCGCGACAGCGUGGGAGCAAACA
rnacentral:rRNA from 1 species